rnacentral:rRNA from 1 species
UACGUAGGGGGCUAGCGUUAUCCGGAAUUACUGGGCGUAAAGGGUGCGUAGGUGGUUUCUUAAGUCAGAGGUGAAAGGCUACGGCUCAACCGUAGUAAGCCUUUGAAACUGGGAAACUUGAGUGCAGGAGAGGAGAGUGGAAUUCCUAGUGUAGCGGUGAAAUGCGUAGAUAUUAGGAGGAACACCAGUUGCGAAGGCGGCUCUCUGGACUGUAACUGACACUGAGGCACGAAAGCGUGGGGAGC